ACCCAUCUGCCGUAAGGUAUGGACAAGUGCAACAGAAAGCAAGUACAGUUCGGCUGUAGUGAAAUCAGGUAAACUCUAUGUGGUGCAAUACCAUGUAUAUCAAGAUUUAAGAGCUGCUCGUUUUUUCUUGAGGGGUAGGUAGCUUGAGGCAAUAGGCAACUAUUGUCCUAGAUAAAUGAUAGUACUCUUAUGAGAACAGAAUCCAGCUUACGUGUAAUUACUAAAU
rnacentral:RNase_P_RNA from 1 species